UACGGGGGGAGCAAGCGUUGUUCGGAUUUACUGGGCGUAAAGGGCGCGUAGGCGGUCAGCACAAGUCAGUUGUGAAAUCUCCGGGCUUAACUCGGAAAGGUCAACUGAUACUGUGCGACUAGAGUGCAGAAGGGGCAACUGGAAUUCUCGGUGUAGCGGUGAAAUGCGUAGAUAUCGAGAGGAACACCGAUGGCGAAGGCAGGUCUCUGGGCAUUAACUGACGCUGAGGAGCGAAAGCAUGGGGAGCAAACAGG
rnacentral:rRNA from 1 species